AUGAGAUUUUUAUAAAAUUAUAUUGUUAACUGAUAAAUAUUGUAUAUAUUUAUGGGGUACAGUGUGAUGUUGAUAUGUUACACUGUGGAACGACUAAACUAUGAGAACGUUUCAAAUUUUAUAUAUUUAACUACAGUUUUUAAAAAGAAACAAGUCAUAGUUUAAAGGCUAUGGAAUUUCCUUUAUAUAAUUACCCAGUCAGCAGAUAUUUUUGAGAGCUUGUUCUUAGACUUAAGGGAGUGCCUGUGGCAUCAUUUAGACAGGAACUCAAGGCAGGAGGAUGAGCACUUUUUCCUGGCGUCCCAUGAAGAGGCUGUCAGAUGAGGCCUGUGUCUGCACUCCAGAAAGAGGGACUCUGUGGCUCUCCUGCCUCACCCCUGUUUUCUUUGGGGUUGAAUGUGAGAAGUGAGAGAAAAGUCUUCAGAAGAUACGAGUUAAACAGUAUUUCAUUGACUUCCUGUGAAGCUGUUGAAAGAAGUUCCGUUGUAUCUAUUUUUAAAGCUGGUUACUAUGAGCAGAGGAUACUGCUUCUGAGAUAUAAAUGGUCUCAGUAUGUUUUUAUUCUGCAUUCUUUGGAUGACACUGAUGUUUGCAUAUAAGGUUUAUUGGAGUUUUAACAAAUAGAAAAAGCAGCAGUUGACACUGAAACUAUACCAGUAAGUGAAGUAUUACUUGAAAGCAUUCAUUGUAUCACCCUUAAGUGGUAUUUACUACUAGCUUAAGUAGGUCUUUAGUCCAUACUACAGCUAAAUGUCUGCGAAGAACAGAUUAUGUUACAACCUCGUUUUGGGAAAUACUACAAUCUCAAAGUGUUUUAGACCUGGUUUCUUAAGCAUUGUGUUAAAAUUGUUAAAUAAUGAAAUUAUUGCAUUGGAAGGUCCUUGAUAUUAUUAAAGGAGAAUUAUAUAUAAACUAUUGGGAG
rnacentral:lncRNA from 1 species